CAGUAACUGUAGAAUCAUGUUUGGCAGUGCUGUCGAAAGUGUGCCCAUCAUUAUACCAGUAUGAUAAUGUGCCCACCCCUAUACCUUAUAUAGAUUUGAUGUUAUAAUUAUGUUCUCGUGCAAUAAUUAUUAUAGCUGCAGAUUAUAUAUAGUGUUAGGACGAUGAAUUAAAGUAAUAGUGUAUAGGACUCAGUCAAUAUUAUAUUGGAAAUUCCGAAUAGUGUAGGAAUAGUGUGGGGCAUGCAGGGUCAAUGAUAAUCAGUAUAGUAGAAGUGGUGGGUAUACAUGGGAGUGAACCCCUCAGAGUUUUUGGCACUCUGAAGUGGUUGACCAAUGGUUGCUAGCAUGCAAUGAUAAUCCUGCUAGUUCAUUUAUGGGAGGCUUAAGGAAGGAGCGAGUGCAUAUACAGACCGCCUUGUCGUCAGUGUUUUUCCACAGUAGCUGAAACAAAAGAAAAGAUCUCGACACUCAGAUGAAGUUGCUUACCUCAAAAACCCUUCAAUAGCCUUUUGUGAGCUCUAUACUGAUGCCCCCAAAAUGCACUAUCUGAUGCAUGCAUGCACCAAGACUGAUCAUUGAGUAAGUGUGCACAUGUAUACAUAUAUACUGUAUAUAGUGGGUAAUUAUAGUGGGUAAUUGUCGAUUUGGCGAAUGAAGGUGCAUGCAUGAGGGUCACCAAAAAUUAAAAAUCGCCAAUGCCCAGUAUAUCCCACGUGGUUAAUAAUGCCGUGCCGUAGUAUACUAUGGAGUGUCGUUUGUGUCAAAACACCAUGUGUAAAAACUGCAUGUCUAAUCCACGUCAUGCACUUCACUAUUUCACUAUAUCAGUGUCCCACUACUAUAAUUAAAGCGGUCUCACGUACCGGUCUCACGCUUUACUAAAUCGGUGUCCUGAUUUACUAAAUCGCUGUCCAGAUAUUUGUUCCCGCGCUGCGUGUUACUGCAGCCUUUUUAAUUGCGCAUGCUCAAAGAUUUGCAGUAUUAAAGGCAUUGAGUGUAUGCGAACUCACAAGGUUCAUAUAAUAUUAUAUAGGGCGCUGUUCCAUGCAACAUCGUCAAAUGAAAAUUGCCAAAUUUACCCGCUAUAAUUAUAUAUAAUUAUGGUGUAAAAUACUCUGCAUGUAUAUAAUGUAUACAUGCAUGCAUGCAUGCCUGCAUGAUAUAGUUAAGACAUGCACGCAUGUGCUUUUUGUGACAGUAUAUUAUUUUUAUAUCCUUGUAUAGUGUUAGUUGCAACUCCCUGCAUGCAUGCAUGGGGUAUCAAGUGGGGUAAAUGUAACCAUGCUCUUGUAUAUAGGUUUGGUCAGUGUAUAGCUAUAUAUAUUAGGCCAAACGUACGUUCAAACUCGUUCAGCAAUUACAGUUGGACUCUUGUUAAACGUCACCAGCUACUGCAGUGCUAUAUAUAUGUUCCAUCAUGGGGGAUUACUUUGGACAUGCAGGAGCGUCUGGAUGUUAGUCCAGGUGCAUGAUACCGGAGGGUAGAAUUCAGUGUAUCCAUACAAACCGAGUGAUUGGUCAAUAAUGAUUUUAUUGCCAGUUGCUAUAUGACAGCAAUAAAAAGGCAUACUGAGAACAAAGAGUAUAUACAUAAGUUAUAGAGUUGAGAAUGAAUUCUUAAUCUAGACUAUAUACAUGUUGGCUACUCAAGAGAGAUCAUGCAUGCAUGCCCCUGAAGGUGCCUCUCUGAUGAAAAGGGUCCUUUCUAAACAUCGAUAUAGUCUAUAUAACUCAUUCUAAAUGCGUUACUCAAGCUCUAUAUGCUGCAAUGACAAAGAAGUUUUAAAUUGCAGCUGCAUGUAUGGCCAUGGCAAGAAAAUAGAUUUUACGUAUGUAAACAAGUGAUAUAUACAUGAAAAGCAUGUGAAAAACAUACAUGCAUGCAUCAACAUCCCUAACCACAGGGAUCUGUGUAUAUAUGAUUCCCUAUACAUGCAUGUAUAUGAUUCCCUAUACAUGACGUAUAUAUCAUUCCUAUGUAAAAGCAGGUUCUGCAUGUAGCACAGUUAUAAACCACUGCAUAUAUACCUAACCACAUACCAACGGGCAAGAAUAACUGUGUGCAUGUGUAUACUCCCCGGGUGAUUCAGUAGCCUCACUGAGUAUAGGCCCGGAGUUGCAAAAAGAAGCUGUAGGUAAGUUGUUAUUACAUGACUGUGAAGACUAUACCUAUACAGCUGGCUGUUAUGUACUUAUGUACGUAAUACUAUCAAGGGCGUAUAAAAGAAGAGAGGGCAUGCAACUCCAAGAGCAGAAUUCAAACGUGGGCGGAUAAAUGUGCAUGACUGUGCAUGAAAUACUAAAAAUAGACAUUUCUAUUUUUAGCACUGCAUGCAAAUGCACACAUUCCUCCGCCCACGUUUGAACUCUGCUAGCUACGUGUACUGAUAGUGGAGUUGCAUGCCCUCUCUUCUUUUAUACGCCCUUGAUACUAUUAAUUAUCGGAAUUUUUAAUUUGUUAUGUAUAUUGUUGCACGACAAUUGUUCCUAUUAGAGCAAAUUGGAUAAGAGUGGAUGGUAAAAGCCAGCCGUCAUCCUUUAGAAACUUGAUCAAGACUGUCCAGUGUUCGUUCAAAUUGUUGAUAAUUAUUGUGGAAAACAACCCAUUUGCAAUUUAACUGCAUCCGUUUUGAUCGUCACUAUCAUGUUUUUAUACACUUACCAAUCCAUACACUCUUACAUAUUUAUCCCAUACAACCCCUUAUAUCAUCUGCAAGAGAACAGUUUGUGGACAGCACGCUGGUUAUAUAAUUACGUAGAACACUCAGUAGGUCCUAUAAAAUCAAAAUACUGUGCAUGUGAGCUUUGGUUGGUAUAUAUACAUGUGUAUAAAGGCAGAAUUGUUAUAAAACAGCUAUUAUAAUGAUAGCAUAUCAAAUUAGCAAGACCUUCCACAUAACUAUGUGUAAAAUACAUGUGAAUAGGGUUUUAGGUUAUCUGCGUCAAUUUAUAGGAAAUAUGGGACUGGAUGAAUUGCGAACUUUUCUGCGCUUCGUUACUGGCAGCUCGGUGUGUUCCUCUUCGAAAAUAUCUCUAGAAUUUAAUGCUCUUACCGGUUCUUCACGUAGACCCAUUGCCCUCACCUGUGCACCAUCCCUGAUUCUAUCCUCAACAUACCCUUCAUACCAAGUGUUUGUUUCUGAGUUCCGAGCUUGUUUGUCAAGCGAGUACUUGUGGAGAAUGGACAGCUAUUGACGUUUGCAAUAUUGAUAACACUGCAUGCAUGUCUGUCAAUGUUUUUUGGCCAUAAUUAUUACCUUUAUGACGAUGUUAUUGUAUUGUAAAGCAUUCAUCGCUGUGAUUUUUGUAUUACUGAGUGAUGUAGGUAUAUAGGUCCAAUAAAAAGCAUGCAAGCUUUGGUCCCAGGAGAAUUGUUAUAUAUAACACCUAUAACUUAUGAAUGCAAAAUUAGCAAGACCUUCUAUACAUGCAUGCAAGUAGUACAUGCAUGUGCUUGCAUUUGUCACAGUGAAGAUAUAAUUAUAUAGUUAUCUGCAUGAGCUUAUGAUUAUCAUGUUGCAAGCAUGCAUGUAAUAAUUAUGAUUGUUCCACAAAUGUUCCACGUUCAAAUGCUAUAUGAAUCAGUAGGUUGUACAUAGGAUUGUAGCAAUUUUUCACAUUGCAAAUGUUUUUCUAUCCGGAUUCAGGUAUAAUUGAAGACGGUGCCACAAGCCAAUGAGAAAUUUGACUCAGACUAACAAACAGCAUCUGUAAAACUAUAUGACAAUAUCUACCAAGUGUAUAUACAGUGGCUACGUACUUGCAACCUAUUCCAGUAUAAUAAUAAUA